rnacentral:rRNA from 1 species
UACAGAGGGUGCGAGCAUUAAUCGGAAUUACUGGGCGUAAAGCGUGCGUAGACGGUUAUUUAAGUCGGGUGUGAAAGCCCCGGGCUCAACCUGGGAAUUGCAUUCGAGACUGAAUAGCUAGGGUAUGGUAGAGGGAAGUGGAAUUUCCGGUGUAGCGGUGAAAUGCGUAGAUAUCGGAAGGAACAUCAGUGGCGAAGGCGGGUCUCUGGACAACACCUGACGCUGAGGCACGAAAGCCAGGGGAGCAAACGGG